rnacentral:rRNA from 1 species
CCGGUUGAUCCUGCCGAAGGCUACUGCUAUUGGAGUUCGAUUAAGCCAUGCGAGUCUAAGGGACUUCGGUCCCUGGCAUAAUGCUCAGUAACAAGUGGAUAAUCUGCCCUCAGGUGAGGAAUAAACCCGGGAAACUGGGGCUAAUACCUCAUAGACGCAAGAAGCUGGAAUGCUCCUGUGUUCAAAGCUCCGGCGCCUGAGGAUGAGUCUGCUUCCUAUCAGGUUGUAGUCAGGGUCAAGACCUGACUAGCCAGCGACGGGUACGGGGUGUGAGAGCACUUGCCCGGAGAUGGUUUCUGAGACACGAAACCAGGCCCUACGGGGCGCAGCAGGCGCGAAAACUUCGCAAUGCGGGAAACCGUGACGAGGGAACUCCAAGUGUCUAUGCAAUGCAUAGACUGUUUUUCAGCCUAAACAGCUGUUAGAGUAAGAGGUGGGCAAGACCGGUGCCAGCCGCCGCGGUAACACCGGCACCUCAAGUGGUAGCCACUAUUAUUGGGCCUAAAGCGUUCGUAGCCGGUUUGGUAAAUUCUUGGGUAAAUCGUACAGCUUAACUGUGCGGAUUCCGGGGACACUACCAGACUUGAGACCGGGGGAGAUCAGAGGUACUUGUGGGGGAGCGGUGAAAUGUUGUAAUCCUACAGGGACCACCAGUGGCGAAGGCGUCUGAUCAUAACGGCUUUGACGGUGAGGAACGAAACCCUGGGGCGCAAACGGGAUUAGAUACCCCGGUAGUCCAGGGCGUAAACGCUGCUGACUUGGUGUUGGAGAUCCUACGAGGGUGUCCAGUGCUGGCGCGAAGGUAUUUAGUCAGCCGCCUGGGGAGUACGGUCGCAAGACUGAAACUUAAAGGAAUUGGCGGGGGAGCACUGCAACGUGUGGAGCGUGCGGUUUAAUUGGAUUCAACGCCGGA